AUCUAUAACAACAAUUGAAUAUUCAUAGUUAUUAUGUACUCAAACAUUUUAUUAUAAAAAAAAAAAAAAAAAAUAAUAAAAAAACGAGUCCAAACUCGGUACACCUAACUCUAUUCGUCGCAGAGUUUCAGUAGCAGACACCGAGGGUAUACCUUCAGGUCACUUCAUCUAGUCCGGUGGUAAGGUCUCAUCAUAGCUAACAAAACGAGCCCAAACUCGGUACACCUAGAUCUAUUCGUCGCGGAGUUCCAGUAGCAGACACCGAGGGUAUACCUUCAGGUCACUCCAUCAAGUCCGGUGGUAAGGUCUCAUCAUAGCUAACAAAACGAGCCCAAACUCGGUACACCUAGAUCUAUUUGUCACGGAGUUCCAGUAGCAGACACCGAGGGUAUACCUUCAGGUCACUUCAUCAAGUCCGGUGGUAAGGUCUCAUCAUAGCUAACAAAACGAGCCCAAACUCGGUACACCUAGAUCUAUUCGUCACGGAGUUCCAGUAGCAGACACCGAGGGUAUACCUUCAGGUCACUUCAUCAAGUCCGGUGGUAAGGUCUCAUCAUAGCUAACAAAACGAGCCCAAACUCGGUACACCUAGAUCUAUUCGUCGCGGAGUUCCAGUAGCAGACACCGAGGGUAUACCUUCAGGUUACUCCAUCAAGUCCGGUGGUAAAGUCUCUUCAUAACACACAAAACGAGUCCAAACUCGGUACAUCUGACUCAAUUCGUCGCGGAGUUCCAGUAGCAGACACCGAGGGUAUACCUUCAGGUCACUUCAUCAAGUCCGGUGGUAAGGUCUCAUCAUAGCUAACAAAACGAGCCCAAACUCGGUACACCUAGAUCUAUUCGUCGCGGAGUUCCAGUAGCAGACACCGAGGGUAUACCUUCAGGUCACUUCACCAAGUCCGGUGGUAAGGUCUCAUCAUAGCUAACAAAACGAGCCCAAACUCGGUACACCUAGAUCUAUUCGUCGCGGAGUUCCAGUAGCAGACACCGAGGGUAUACCUUCAGGUUACUCCAUCAAGUCCGGUGGUAAAGUCUCUUCAUAACACACAAAACGAGUCCAAACUCGGUACAUCUGACUCAAUUCGUCGCGGAGUUCCAGUAGCAGACACCGAGGAUAUACCUUCAGGUCACUCCACGUUAGCAGUCACCAAAGUACUUCAUGAUCACGUGCGAUGAAACGUUAUUUUUUAGUGAAAUAUUUACAAUAUUGCAUAAUAUUUUGGUGUAAUGAUAAAAAUCAAUAAUCUUACCUUAGAAGGAUCAAAUUUGGUUAGUCGAAUAUUUUGUAUUUAUACAGCGAUCUUUUUCAACACGAGCAGCUGGAAACGAGCGAUACAGUGUCCUCUCACGACGGCGGCCGAGCGCAGACUGACUCAGAAUGAGGCUUUCGCACAAUCGUGGGUCGGAAGGAAUACAAAUAAAAUAACCCCUAUUUCAAGCUGUUAAGACUCAUCGUUAGUAGCAAAAUAUGUGAAAAAAAUUGGUUUUGUUUUUAUUUUUUCUAACCUUAUUCAUAGCACAAUACUGUAUUUUUUUUCCUCACAUUUAAUCUUGACUAUGUUUGCCUAUUUACAAAAAAUAAAUCAAUAUUAAAUUACUUUAUUCUUAGUAGAAAAUUGUACCUAAACUUGACCCGGAAUCAUGAAUUUUGUAGAAAGGGGUUACGAAAUAACUUUUUUAUGAUAUCAAAAAUUUAUUUUUUCAAAAAAAACCUUCCUCGCGUUUAUAGUUGAAGACCCAAGCUAUAACUAGGAGUUAUUUGUCAUAUUUGAUUUGGCUUGGUUUAGUCGCAAAAUGUACCGAAAAACAGCUUAAUUUUGCUCAAACUGCAAACGCGUCCUUAAAUGUUA
rnacentral:lncRNA from 1 species